CACGUAGGCGGCCUGGUAAGUCAGAUGUGAAAGCCCGGGGCUUAACCCCGGAAGUGCAUUUGAUACUGUCAGGCUUGAGUAUGGGAGAGGGAAGUGGAAUUCCUGGUGUAGAGGUGAAAUUCGUAGAUAUCAGGAGGAACACCGGUGGCGAAGGCGACUUCCUGGACCAAUACUGGCGCUGAGGUGCGAAGGCGUGGGUAGCAAACAGGAUUAGAUACCCUGGUAGUC
rnacentral:rRNA from 1 species